GUGGCAAUGAAGACUGGGUCCUACGCAACGUACAUUCAUGAACCCCGUCAGGCCCGGGAGGGAGCAGCGGUAAGUGGAUCCCUGCGUGUGCCGUGGGUAAGCCUGGUCGGAGUUGGCUGCCGGGGUAUCGCCCGGAAGAUACUCAUCGACGGUAGGUGCACGG
rnacentral:SRP_RNA from 1 species